rnacentral:rRNA from 1 species
UACGGGGGGGGCAAGCGUUGUUCGGAAUUACUGGGCGUAAAGGGCUCGUAGGUGGCCAACUAAGUCAUACGUGAAAUCCCUCGGCUUAACCGGGGAACUGCGUCUGAUACUGGAUGGCUUGAGGUUGGGAGAGGGAUGCGGAAUUCCAGGUGUAGCGGUGAAAUGCGUAGAUAUCUGGAGGAACACCGGUGGCGAAGGCGGCUCACUGGCCCGGUACUGACGCUGAGGUGCGAAAGCGUGGGGAGCAAACAGG